rnacentral:rRNA from 1 species
GACGAACGCUGGCGGCGUGCUUAACACAUGCAAGUCGAACGAUGAAGCUAGAGCUUGCUCUGGUGAAUUAGUGGCGAACGGGUGAGUAACACGUGAGUAACCUGCCCCGAACUCUGGGAUAACUGCUGGAAACGGUAGCUAAUACUGGAUACGACCUACGAAGGCAAUCUUCUGUAGGUGGAAAGAAUUUUCGGUUCGGGGAUGGACUCGCGGCCUAUCAGCUUGUGGUGAGGUAAUGGCUCACCAAGGCGACGACGGGUAGCCGGCCUGAGAGGGUGACCGGCCACACUGGGACUGAGACACGGCCCAGACUCCUACGGGAGGCAGCAGUGGGAAUAUUGCACAAUGGGCGCAAGCCUGAUGCAGCAAACGCCGCGUGAGGGAUGACGGCCUCGGUU